UACGGUCACAUCACGUUGAAACACCAGUUCCUGUACGAUCACUGAAGUUAAGCAACGUUGAGCCUAAUCAGUACUUAGGUGGGUGAGCGCUUGAGAAUACUCGUGCUGUAA